rnacentral:rRNA from 1 species
CCUACGGGUGGCAGCAGUGGGGAAUAUUGCACAAUGGGGGAAACCCUGAUGCAGCGACGCCGCGUGAGUGAAGAAGUCUUUAGGUAUGUAAAGCUCUAUCAGCCGGGAAGAAAAUGACGGUACCUGAUUAAGAAGCCCCGGCUAAAUACGUGCCAGCAGCCGCGGUAAUACGUAGGGGGCAAGCUUUAUCCGGAUUUACUGGUUGUAAAGGGAGCGUUGAGGGGAGCAGAAGUCUGGAGAGAAUUGCCGGGGCUUAAACCCGGUACGGCUUUGGAAACUGGGCAGCUAGAGUGUAGGAGAGGUAAGUGGAAUUCCUAGUGUAGCGGUGAAAUGCGUAGAUAUUACGAGGAACACCAGUGGCGAAGGCGGCUUACUGGACUGUAACUGACGUUGAGGCUCGAAAGCGUGGGGAGCAAACAGGAUUAGAUACCCGUGUAGUC